GAUGAACGCUGGCGGCGUGCCUAAUACAUGCAAGUCGAGCGAACAGACGAGGAGCUUGCUCCUCUGACGUUAGCGGCGGACGGGUGGGUAACACGUGGAUAACCUACCUAUAAGACUGGGAUAACUUCGGGAAACCGGAGCUAAUACCGGAUAAUAUAUUGAACCGCAUGGUUCAAUAGUGAAAGACGGUUUUGCUGUCACUUAUAGAUGGAUCCGCGCCGCAUUAGCUAGUUGGUAAGGUAACGGCUUACCAAGGCGACGAUGCGUAGCCGACCUGAGAGGGUGAUCGGCCACACUGGAACUGGGACACGGUCCAGACUCCUACGGGAGGCAGCAGUAGGGAAUCUUCCGCAAUGGGCGAAAGCCUGACGGAGCAACGCCGCGUGAGUGAUGAAGGUCUUCGGAUCGUAAAACUCUGUUAUUAGGGAAGAACAAAUGUGUAAGUAACUAUGCACGUCUUGACGGUACCUAAUCAGAAAGCCACGGCUAACUACGUG
rnacentral:rRNA from 1 species